rnacentral:tRNA from 2 species
GCCCAUGUGGCUCAGUGGUACAGCGCCAGGUUGCUAACCUGGUGAUCGUUAGAUCUCACAGGUUCAAAUCCUGUCAUGGGCG